AUUGAACGCUGGCGGCAGGCCUAACACAUGCAAGUCGAGCGGAUGAAGGGAGCUUGCUCCUGGAUUCAGCGGCGGACGGGUGAGUAAUGCCUAGGAAUCUGCCUGGUAGUGGGGGAUAACGUCCGUAAACGGGCGCUAAUACCGCAUACGUCCUGAGGUAGAACGUGGGGGAUCUUCGGACCUCACGCUAUCAGAUGAUCCUAGGUCGGAUUAGCUAGUUGGUGGGGUAAAGGCCUACCAAGGCGACGAUCCGUAACUGGUCUGAGAGGAUGAUCAGUCACACUGGAACUGAGACACGGUCCAGACUCCUACGGGAGGCAGCAGUGGGGAAUAUUGGACAAUGGGCGAAAGCCUGAUCCAGCCAUGCCGCGUGUGUGAAGAAGGUCUUCGGAUCGUAAAGCACUUUAAGUUGGGAGGAAGGGAAGUAAGUGAAUACAUUGCUGUUUUGACGGUACCAACAGAAUAAGCACCGGCUAACUUCGUG
rnacentral:rRNA from 1 species